UACGGAGGAUGCGAGCGUUAUCCGGAUUUAUUGGGUUUAAAGGGUGCGUAGGCGGGCUGUUAAGUCAGCGGUCAAAUGUCGGGGCUCAACCACGGCCUGCCGUUGAAACUGGCGGCCUCGGGUGGGCGAGAAGUAUGCGGAAUGCGUGGUGUAGCGGUGAAAUGCAUAGAUAUCACGCAGAACUCCGAUUGCGAAGGCAGCAUACCGGCGCCCGACUGACGCUCAUACACGAAAGCGUGGGGAGCAAACAGG
rnacentral:rRNA from 1 species